rnacentral:misc_RNA from 1 species
AUUUGGUUGUCAACCUCCGUUGACACCAAUAGGUUGAGCAAGCUUGUUUUUCUCUUGCAACAUCACUUCCCUUCUCUUGUCUAAAUUGAAAAGAGAUAAGUGUGGAAACACUUUUUGUUAUCUUGAUUAAUUCGAAUAAGUUUUUUCAAUAAAGUAAGUAUCAAUAUAAUUUUUUUUGAGAAUUGUUACUCGAAAGAGUAACAGCAUCUCAAGCGCAAUUUUCACUGAUGUAAAUUAGCGCUUGAGGAUAAUCAUUAAUAUCAAUUUUACGGCGAAAUAGCAGCUUUCAAAUUUUGAUCAAGUUGCUAAGGGCUGUUGGUGGAUGCCUUGGC